GAUGAAGAACGUAGCGAAAUGCGAUGAGUAAUGCGAAUUGCAGAAUCCGUGAGUCAUCGAAUCUUUGAACGCACAUUGCGCCCCUUGGUUAUUCCGAAGGGCAUGCCUGUUCGAGCGUCAUUAUCACCCCUCAAGCCCUGGCUUGGUGUUGGACUUUAGUUAUAGCUUUGCCUAUCAACUGGUCUCAAAGAUAGUGACGGCGCCCCAGAGGGAACCGGGUACGAGGAGCUUUUUACUAAGCAUGUAUCUGGGACGACUCUGGGCGACGGUCUUGUUAUACUUUUUACCUAAGUGUUGACCUCGGAUCAGGUAGGAAUACCCGCUGAACUUAAGCAUAUCAAUAAGCGGAGGA
rnacentral:misc_RNA from 1 species